AAGCAGCCAUCAUUUAAAGAAAGCGUAAUAGCUCACUGGUCGAGUCGGCCUGCGCGGAAGAUGUAACGGGGCUCAAAUCAGGCACCGAAGCUGCGGAUUUGCACUUAUGUGCAAGUGGUAGGGGAGCGUUGUGUAAGUCUGUGAAGGAGAACGGGGACGUUUUCUGGAGAUAUCACAAGUGCGAAUGCUGACGCAAGUAACGAUAAAACGGAUUAAAAGUCCGUUCGCCGGAAGACCAAGGUUUCCUGUCCAACGUUAAACGGGGCAGGGUUAGUCGGUACCUAAGUUCAGGCUGAAAAGCGUAGACGACGGAUAACAGGUUAAUAUUCCUGUACCGCGUACAUUGCGAUGGGAUGACAGAGUAGGUAAGGCAAGGCGGACAACGGUUGUUCCGCUUCAAGGAUGUAGGUAGUAAGAGAGGUUAAAUGAUCUUUUACGAUGAUCUGAGAUCUGAUGUCCAAAAAGGUAUUCCUUUUAGGUUGCUCUCUCCACACUCUCAGGAAAAGUCCCUAAGCUUCAGAUGUACGUCGGCCGUACCCCAAACCGACACAGGUGGUCGGGUAGAAGAUACCAAGGCGCUUGGGAGAACCCGGGUGAAGGAACUAGGCAAAAUUGUACCGUAACUUCGGGAGAAGGUACGCUGAAGUGAGUGUAAAGAUUUACUCUUGAAGCUUACUUCAGCCGCAGAUAAAUGGCGGCUGGGACUGUUUAACAAAAACACAGCACUCUGCUAACCUGAAAGGGGAUGUAUAGGGUGUGACACCUGCCCGGUGCCGGAAGGUUAAAUGAUGAGGUGAGUUUUUUUACGAAGCCUCUGAGUGAAGCCCCGGUAAACGGCGGCCGUAACUAUAACGGUCCUAAGGUAGCGAAAUUCCUUGUCGGGCAAGUUCCGACCUGCACGAAUGGUGUAACCAUGGCCGCGCUGUCUCCACCCGGGACCCAGUGAAACCGAAAUCGCUGUGAAGAUGCAGUGUACCCGCGGCUAGACGGAAAGACCCCGUGAACCUUUACUGCAGCUUGACACUGAACCUUGAACCUGUUUGCGCAGGAUAGGCGGGAGGCAUUGAAGAGAAGUUUCCGGACUUCUCGGAGCCGUUGGUGAAAUACCGCCCUGACAGUUUUGAGGUUCUAACUUGUGACUCACAUCAGAGGACAGUGUCUGGCGGGAAGUUUGACUGGGGCGGUCUCCUCCCAAAGAGUAACGGAGGAGCACGAAGGUCGGCUGAUCACGGUCGGAAACCGUGAGAUCAGUGUAAUGGCAUAAGCCGGCUUGACUGCAAGAGGUACAUCUCGAGCAGGUGCGAAAGCAGGUCAUAGUGAUCCGGUGGUCCCAUAUGGACGGGCCAUCGCUCAACGGAUAAAAGGUACUCUGGGGAUAACA
rnacentral:rRNA from 1 species